rnacentral:rRNA from 1 species
GAUGAACGCUGGCGGCGUGCCUAAUACAUGCAAGUCGAGCGAACGGACGAGAAGCUUGCUUCUCUGAUGUUAGCGGCGGACGGGUGAGUAACACGUGGAUAACCUACCUAUAAGACUGGGAUAACUUCGGGAAACCGUAGCUAAUACCGGAUAAUAUUUUGAACCGCAUGGUUCAAAAGUGAAAGACGGUCUUGCUGUCACUUAUAGAUGGAUCCGCGCUGCAUUAGCUAGUUGGUAAGGUAACGGCUUACCAAGGCAACGAUGCAUAGCCGACCUGAGAGGGUGGUCGGCCACACUGGAACGGAGACACGGUCAAGACUCCUACGGGAGGCAGCAGUAGGGAAUCUUACGCAAUGGGCGAAAGCCUGACGGAGCAACGCCGCGUGAGUGAUGAAGGUCUUCGGAUCGUAAAACUCUGUUAUUAGGGAAGAACAGAUGUGUAAGUAACUGUGCACAUCUUGACGGUACCUAAUCAGAAAGCCACGGCUAACUACGUG